rnacentral:rRNA from 1 species
GACGAACGCUGGCGGCGUGCUUAACACAUGCAAGUCGAACGGAAAGGCCCUGCUUUUGUGGUGUUCUCGAGUGGCGAACGGGUGAGUAACGCGGGAGUAACCUGCCCUUGACUUUGGGAUAACUUCGGGAAACUGGGGCUAAUACCGUAUAAGAGCUCCUGCGGCAUGGUGGGGGUUGGAAAGUUUCGGCGGUUGGGGAUGGACUCGCGGCUUAUCAGCUUGUUGGUGGGGUAGUGGCUUACCAAGGCUUUGACGGGUAGCCGGCCUGAGAGGGUGACCGGCCACAUUGGGACUGAGAUACGGCCCAGACUCCUACGGGAGGCAGAAGUGGGGAAUAUUGCACAAUGGGCGGAAGCCUGAUGCAGCAACGCCGCGUGCGGGAUGACGGCCUUCGGGUUGUAAACCGUUUUCGCCUGGGACGAAGUGUGAGUGACGGUAAUGGGUAAAGAAGCACCGGCUAACUACGUG